UGGCAAGUCUCUCUCUUCACAAGUCACUGGAAUAUUGGUGAAUAACGUAGGUUUGGUUAACCUCAUCACUUUCAAGGCAAGCAGAUGCUCUUGCUUCGGCUGAUUCACAUCCAUUGCCUCGGCCUCCCCUCUCUGGGCUUUCGCCGCCUACAGGAUUCACCUAGGCCAAGAUUCUGCUAACGGCGAAAGGAACCACGAUAAAGGUCCGCACGCAGCCUGAGCCAAGCUGCCCGGGUCCCAGAAAACCCGGAGGUGCGUUUCCCGGCAUGCAACGCGCCA